rnacentral:rRNA from 1 species
UACGUAGGGUGCGAGCGUUGUCCGGAAUUAUUGGGCGUAAAGAGCUCGUAGGCGGCCUGUCGCGUCGGUUGUGAAAGCCCGGGGCUUAACCCCGGGUCUGCAUUCGAUACGGGCUGGCUAGAGUGUGGUAGGGGAGAUCGGAAUUCCUGGUGUAGCGGUGAAAUGCGCAGAUAUCAGGAGGAACACCGGUGGCGAAGGCGGAUCUCUGGGCCAUUACUGACGCUGAGGAGCGAAAGCGUGGGGAGCGAACAGG